CGCGCCAUUAAAACACACACAGCUGAAAUCACCAAAGAAGUGCUUGAACAAUGCCGGCACGACUCACCUCAAAGAAGAGGAAGAGGAAGACAAGAUGGCCGCCGCCGACGUCUGCCCCAGUCAAGCAAAACACGGUAUGUAUUUUGACUUUUUGGACGUUUAACGCCUUGUGGAGGUGUGUGAGACUGUUGUGGCGUGCUGAUCGUUCUCUCCGCCCCUGGACACCACAAGCAGCUGCCGGAAACCCUGGACACACGGGGAAAGGUGACCAAGGCUAUGGCGGCCAGCUGAGGGGGUGGCAGAAUUUUUCGUGUUUGUGUGUGUGCGUUUGUGUGUGUGUGGAGAAGUGUUAUUUUGUGGGGUGGGUGAGGCGACGCGCCCCCCGGCGUAAGCCCCACUUGGUUGAUUGAUCGACUUACUCCAUGCCAGGGACGCUGCUGCGGUGUGGGGGGCGGCGCCCCGCCUGUUACGGGGCCCAGGCAUAUUCACCUGUCUCGACACACACACACACACACACACACACACACACACACACACACACACACACACACACACACACACAGCCUUGUCUCCAUCUGUACAAUAUGAUACUGUCAUUGCCUUCAACAUGUUGGUAAAACUCUAGACUUACACCCGCUGGCAGCCCUCAUCCCACCACAGCAGGCAGCCCACAGCGUCCUGGGGUAGUGUUGCGCUGACAGUGCAUCAGGGCCUGAAACUAUCAGCGGUGAAUGGCAAGAGGGCAGCCAGCCAGCCACCUCCUGCCAGACUAAUAGCUACUUACCGUUCACCGUUGAUGAGGUUUCAGGCCCUGCUGCUCCGCCGCUGGUGUCUACGAGGGCCGUCAACAAUUACAGUGUUAGCCUCAAGAGUAAUCUUGGAUGCACUUUUUCUCAAACGUUGUAGUGAGUGAGAGUGUCUUAAUUGUUUUCACGAAUAAUAUCACAAAUAUCUAUUGGUUCAGUUUUCGUGUCUGAUAUUUUCGUUAUAGUAUCACAAUUAAAUAUCCAACGAGCUUGAUUGCACCCGGGAAAGUACAUUUUAUACGGCACCAUUUAGGACACAAACAACAUCCAAUCCAUAUUGAUGCAUUGCCUGUAAAGUCUUCACAGAUGUAACACCAAUCUCUCACAUCCCUAAUCUUGUGUCCAGCAGCCAUCAUCAGCACUGCCAAUCCCGCACGGAGCCCACGCAGCACACGCCUUGUCACUGUCACGGCCCGCCUCUGCUGACAAGGACAUGCUGGACUUUGUGGACCCUGGCAGCCAUGAGGAGGUGUCCGUGGGCGCUGGGCAAGGCCGAGGGCGAGGAGUACAGCACACUGGAUGAGGGGGACCAUGGAUGGUGCAGGGCUCUCAGGAGAUGGACAAGCAGGAACAGGGGACCAGAACUCACAGGUGUUCUUCAUUGAGUGUGUGAGUGCCGCUGUCGUCUCCAUGAACACCUGCUCGGAGGUACCAAGACCCGUCAAGCCAGUCUGCCCUGCAAGACUGCCUGGUCAAGAUGGGGUCCAGCCUUGCACAGAACUGCUUGGCUGGCUGGCCAGUGCCACAAGUUGGUGGUGACAAAGUAAAGCCCUCCAUGACUGCUACAGCCUGAUGGAUGGAUCUCAUGGUGUGUGGUGACCCAGGCUGUGGAGGGUGGCUGCCACACUCACUGCUCCAGCCACUCACAGCUGUACCUCAGGAGCCAGACACCCUCUGCUUCACUCCUGCCCAGACUUUGCCACUCACACACAACAGCUGCUUCAUCUUAAGGAUCAGCGAUGUGGAACCAGCUGUACCACCACCACCACCACCACCUAGAGCGGAGAAGCGCAGAAAAUCUACGGACGAGUAACUGGUGGAUGUUGUUGUCCAAUAUUGCAGCAUUUCUGCAUAGCUUCACCUCACUGAUUUUUUGACCAUAUAGUUGUAAAUUUUGCAUAUGGCAGUACUGCCCUGCCAGCACCCCAUCAUCAAGAGAGCUACUCAGUAAUUGCCUUACGGUUGACCGACACGCACGC